GGGGGUCUCUUUUUAUAGACAGGAGAGCGUAACCGAUUGACAGCGACGUCCGUAACUACCUGGUAGUGGGCCAUUCGGGGCCACGUGGAGUUUGUUACGGAGAGUAGUGGUGUCUGUUGUCGCGACUUGCCUGGGAGUUCGGACCGGACGGCUGAAGCUCGAUUGGGAUAUUUGGUGGAGCAGAAUAGCUCUCUGUCUCAGCAAUCUAAGAGAAGCUCGGAUGUUUUCGAGGUUGCAGACAGGUUAACUAUUGUUGGGUGCCUUAGGCGUUGAUGCUGCAGACGGAAGUCAUCUGCUGUAGAAGUCCAGACGGAAACUUUCUGUUGGAGAAAUCCGAUUGGAGUCCGAUUGCUAGAGAAGUCCAUUUGAAAUUUCUCUGAUGUAGAAGCUUGUCUGAAGACUGUCCGUUGGAGAGGUCCGGUUGCAUGAGGAAUCCGACAGAAGAUCGACCGAUAGCGGAAUUCAGAAGGCGUUGUGGAAGUUCAUUCGCUGGAGGAGUCUGGAGGACACUGUGGAAGGUCGACCGCUGGAGGGGUUCGGAGGGAAUUUAUCUAUUGGAGGGGUUUGGUUGGCACUGUUGAUGUUCGAUUGGCACUGUUGAAGGUUGAUGGCUGGAGAGGUACGAAAGAUACCAGAGGCAGUCGGUCACUGUAGAAAUCCAACUGCUGGAGCUCGUCCGUUGUAGAAGUUCGUCUGAAAUCCAUCCACUGUAGAAGUUCGGACGGAGUCCAGUUCUUGUAGGAGUGAGGCCGCUUACUGUAGAAGCUCGGAUGG
rnacentral:lncRNA from 1 species